ACCAGACUUGCCCUCCAAUAGAUCCUCGUUAAAGGAUUUAGAUUGUUCUCAUUCCAAUUACGGGGCCUCAUAAGAGUCCCGUAUUGUUAUUUUUCGUCACUACCUCCCCGUUCUGGGAUUGGGUAAUUUGCGUGCCUGCUGCCUUCCUUGGAUGUGGUAGCCGUUUCUCAGGCUCCCUCUCCGGAAUCGAACCCUGAUUCCCCGUUACCCGUUACAACCAUGGUAGGCGCAUAACCUACCAUCGACAGUUGAUAAGGCAGACACUUGAAAGAUUCAUCGCCGGCUCGUAGGCCAUGCGAUUAGCGAAAGUUAUUCAGAGUCACCACUGAGAGGAGCCGCCCUUGCGAGCGGCCCCAUUGGUCUUGUUCUAAUAAAUGCGCUUUUCCCUUACGGUCAAAGCUUUUGUGCAUGUAUUAGCUCUAGAAUUACCACAGUUAUCCAUGUAGACAGUCAACAUCUAAGGAACCGUAACUGAUUUAAUGAGCCAUUCGCGGUUUCGCCUUAAUACGGCAUGUACUUAGACAUGCAUGGCUUAAUCUUUGAGACAAGCAUAUGACUACUGGCAGGAUCAACCAG
rnacentral:rRNA from 1 species